rnacentral:rRNA from 1 species
AACGAACGCUGGCGGCAUGCCUAACACAUGCAAGUCGAACGAGACCUUCGUGUCUAGUUGCGCACGGGUGCGUAACGCGUGGGAACCUGCCCUUAGGUUCGGGAUAACUCCCCGAAAGGGGUGCUAAUACCGGAUAAUGUCUUCUGACCAAAGAUUUAUCGCCUUUGGAUGGGCCCGCGUUGGUUUAGCUAGUUGGUAGGGUAAAAGCCUACCAAGGCGACGAUCCAUAGCUGGUCUGAGAGGAUGAUCAGCCACACUGGGACUGAGACACGGCCGAGACUCCUACGCGAGGCAGCAGUGGGGAAUAUUGGACAAUGGGCGAAGGCCUGAUCCAGCAAUGCCGCGUGAGUGAUGAAGUCCGUAGGGUUGUAAAGCUCUUUUACCCGGGAUGAUAAUGACAGUACCGGGAGAAUAAGCACCGGCUAACCCCGUG